GCGAGUUAGCUCAGUGGUAGAGCACGUAUGAAACCCAGGAUUCCUGUACUUGAAUCCCGCAGCAACUAUACUCUCAAGCCUUUUAAGCUCGUGGUCAUUGGUUCGAAUCCAAUACUCGCCAC
rnacentral:tRNA from 1 species